ensembl:lncRNA
AUGAAUCUUCUAUCAGUGAAAUUGUGAAGAAGGAAAAAGAAAUUUGAGCUAGAUUUGCCAUCACCCCUCAAACUGCAAGAGUUAUGGCUGAGAUUUCCCUGGUGGUCCAGUGGUUAAGGCUCUGAGCUCCCACUGCAAGGGGCACAGCUUUGAUCCCUCAUCUGGGAACUAAGAUCCCACAUGCAUUGCAGCAUGGUCAAUAAAAUAAAAUAAUGUAUUAAUAAUAACAAUAUCCUUUUAAAAUAAUUAUAAAAAAAGAAAAAAAAAGACUUAAUGGCCACAGUACAUGGCAAGUCUUGGUGCAGGUGGAAAAGGCAUGAAAUUUGUACAAUAAGGAAUUUUGAGAGAGAGAGAGAGGACGUUCACAAAAAUUUUACUAUAGUGUAUUGUAGCCAUUUCCUUCUCCAGGGGAUCUUCCUGACCCAGGGAUCAAACCCAGGUCUCGUGCACGGCAGGUGGAUUCUUUACCGUCUGAACCACUGAGGAAGCCUUAAACAUGUUUCCAUCCAGUUUCAAACUGGGGACAUUUUGCUUGUGAGACAAACAAUAACUACUACACUAUGGAAAUGCUCACCUUAAUUGUAUUUUAUUAUUACUUUUAUCAAUCUCUUCAUGUGCCUAGUUUAUAAAUUAAAGUAUCACAGUUAUAUAUGCAUGGGAAAAAAUAGUAUAUGUGUGGCUCAGUAUUGUCUAUGGUCUCAGGCAUCCACUGGGGAUCUUAGAACGAACAUACCUGCAGGUAAGAGGCAACCACUGGAUCCUGAGCUGUCACCGCAGAUUGAGUCAGCUUACUGUUGAACUCCACAUCCAUGGGGCCAUAUAGGCCUCGCAGGUGGCGCUAGUGGUAAAGAACCCAACUGCCACUGCAGGAGACACAGACUCAGGUUCAAUCCCUGGGUCGCGAAGAUUCCCUGGAGGAGGGAAUGGCCACAAAACACUGUAGUAAAAUUUAUAUGAAUGUCAUCUCUCUUAAAAUCCCUUACUGUACAAAUUGCAUGCCUUUUUCACUUUCACUAAGCGCUCCAGUAUUCUUGCCUGGAGAAUCCCUGUGGACAGAGGAGCGUGGCAGGCUACCAUCCAUAGCGUCACCAAGAGUCAGACAUGACUGAAGUGACUUGGCGCGCACACACGCAUGCACAUGACUUCAUUUCUGAUCAGCAAAUACCCAGGAGUGGGCUUACUCGAUCAUAGCAUAGGUGUAUGUUUAAUUGCUAAACAGUUUUUCCUAGUUACUCCUUUGUGGGGCUUCUCUGUUGUCUCAGCAGUAAAGAAUUCUGCCAAUGGAGGAGACAAGGGUUCAGUUCCUGGGUUGGGAAGAUUCCCUUGGAGAAGGAAAUGGCAAUCCACUCCAAUAUUCUUGCCUGGGAAAUCCUUUGGACAAAGGAGCCUGGUGGGCUAUACAGUCCAUGGGGUUGCAAAGAGUUGUACACGACUGAGUGAGUAAACAACAGCAACCCCCGUUAUAUAUGCCCACCAGCAAAGUGUAUGAGUUCCAGUUGCCUGUGUCUUUGGCAGCACUAGGUUUUGUCAAUGUUUUUAACUUUAAUCCUUUUUGGUGAAUGUGUAGUCAUACAUCACGGUUUUAAUCUUCAUUUCCCUGAGAACCAAAAAUGCUGAGCAACUUUUUACGUACUUAUUGUUUCAAAAUUUACUGGGGUGGAUCAAGGACCCAGAAAAUAAUGGAGUGAGAUCCCCUGAGGGCAAAACACCUCCAAAUUGAGGAGUGGAUUUUCUUUUCUAUCCCUUUUGCUUCUAUGCAGUGAUCCCAGGAGCCAAGGGAGGACUGGAGGCAAUUCUUGGCAGCCGUGGUAGGGGUGACAGUGGCCAGCCUGCCUGGCUGUGAAGUAGUCAGCAAAUCUAUUGCUCCCUGCUUCUUUGCUCCCUGGAGCAUCUUGAAAAACCUCCUUCUCAAGGCUGGGGCCCUCCAUCCUGUCAGUUCUGUAAGUCCGUCUAUAGCCUUCCUGUUGAGUGGGGCAACAUUACUGAUUCCUGGCUAAUGGAAAGUGAAGGGAAGGUACAGACACAACUUCAGGCCCACAAAAUCCUCCUGUGUAAUCCUCUACUCUCUUUCUCUGUCUGCAGGCUGUUUAUUGACCGCUGACCUCCUCGGAAGCCACGUGUGGAAUGGUGGAGCUACCUUAGGCCUGGACAUCUAUACUGCUGUAUGAAGCAGAGUUCCC